AUUUUAUUUUGAUUUCUGUGAUAUGUGAUGACUUGUAUGAUUGCUAAAAACAAGUUUAGUCCAUAAUUGUUUUUAUUUUGAAGCUAAAGAGACGGAUUUUUUCAACUUUUUUUAAUAAGUGGGUGGAAAUGGACAUUGGCAAGAGUGAUGAUUCAAUUAGAUGUGUGAAAAAGGGAGAUCCUUUUUUAUGAACUCAAUUAUUUGAGGCAUUUGGAUUUGUCUGACUUGCCUGCCAUAGUUAUCUUUAUUCAUCCUUUCCGAAUUUAGUCCCUUGGGAUGUAUGUUUGCCUAUGUGCAAUACCGGACCACGAAUUAGCACAACUUUUCUUGCUUUAUUGGUUCUUUUUAGGUCAAAUUUUGAAGUGGGAUCUGCUCGCAGAAUUUCAAAAUGAAAUGAUGCGUUGCAGAUCAGAGUCAAGUACACUUGUUAAGUUUUGGUGGUGCCACAAUUGCUCUAAAGAGGCAAAACAAACAGCUGGUACUCCUUUGGCACUUGAGGGAGCUUCUACUUAGGUUUGAAGCUUCUCAAUCAGCAUGAGAGGAGACUCAUUGUUGUAAAGCUUGUGGCUAAUGUCAGUCACACCCAGCCAAACCUUUGUAACAACGCGAAUUUUUUUGGUUUUCACAAAGCUAUGCUCCAACUACUCUAAUGUACGGGGGGGAGGAAAAUUGAAUUCUAAUGUAUGGGGAGCGAAAUCUAGGAAAAUUGCAAAGGAUGCCUUGACUAACCGGCAUAACUCCUGUAUGCUUGUAACUAUGUCCUUGAGAUGGAACAAUGUAAAACUUAUGUUGAUGAAACGAUGUAAACUUAUGUUGACUCUUGUCUGGUAGACGUAAACUCCCGUCGACUUGGGCAGUUUGUUGUGUAGUUUUCUCAUGUGGGUUUUAGAUUCAGUCAUUCAGUGAAAAUGUAGAAUGAGAUUGAAA